rnacentral:rRNA from 1 species
AACGAACGCUGGCGGCAGGCCUAACACAUGCAAGUUGAGCGGACCCUUCGGGGUUAGCGGCGGACGGGUGAGUAACGCGUGGGAAUAUGCCCUUCUCUACGGAAUAGUCCUGGGAAACUGGGGGUAAUACCGUAUACGCCCUUUGGGGGAAAGAUUUAUCGGGGAAGGAUUAGCCCGCGUUGGAUUAGGUAGUUGGUGGGGUAAUGGCCUACCAAGCCGACGAUUCAUAGCUGGUUUGAGAGGAUGAUCAGCCACACUGGGACUGAGACACGGCCCAGACUCCUACGGGAGGCAGCAGUGGGGAAUCUUAGACAAUGGGGGCAACCCUGAUCUAGCCAUGCCGCGUGAGUGAUGAAGGCCUUAGGGUUGUAAAGCUCUUUCAGCUGGGAAGAUAAUGACGGUACCAGCAGAAGAAGCCCCGGCUAACUCCGUG